UACGAAGGGGGCUAGCGUUGCUCGGAAUCACUGGGCGUAAAGCUCACGUAGGCGGCUUCUUAAGUCAGGGGUUAAGUCCUGGAGCUCAACUCCAGAACUGCCUUUGGUACUGAGGAGCUUGAGUCCGGGAGAGGUGAGUGGAACUGCGAGUGUAGAGGUGAAAUUCGUAGAUAUUCGCAAGAACACCAGUGGCGAAGGCGGCUCACUGGCCCGGUACUGACGCUGAGGUGCGAAAGCGUGGGGAGCAAACAGG
rnacentral:rRNA from 1 species